AGUGAACGCUGGCGGUAGGCCUAACACAUGCAAGUCGAACGGCAGCACAGGAGAGCUUGCUCUCUGGGUGGCGAGUGGCGGACGGGUGAGGAAUACAUCGGAAUCUACUCUGUCGUGGGGGAUAACGUAGGGAAACUUACGCUAAUACCGCAUACGACCUACGGGUGAAAGCAGGGGACCUUCGGGCCUUGCGCGAUUGAAUGAGCCGAUGUCGGAUUAGCUAGUUGGCGGGGUAAAGGCCCACCAAGGCGACGAUCCGUAGCUGGUCUGCGAGGAGGAUCAGCCACACUGAAACUAGGACACGGUCCAGACCCCGACGGGAGUAAGCAGUGGGGAAUGUUGGACAAUGGGCGCAAGCCUGAUUCAUCCAUGCCGGGUGAGUGAAGAGGGCCUUCGGGUUAUAAAGCCCUUUUGUUGGGAAAGAAAUCCAGCUGGCUAAUACCCGGUUGUGAUGACGUUACCCAAAGAAUAAGCACCGGCUAACUUCGUGCCAGCAGCCGCCGUAA
rnacentral:rRNA from 1 species